UACGGAGGAGGCAAGCGUUAUCCGGAAUUACUGGGCGUAAAGCGCGCGUAGGCGGCUUUGUAAGUUAGAGGUGAAAGCCCGGGGCUCAACCCCGGAAUUGCCUUUAAGACUGCAUCGCUAGAAUUGUGGAGAGGUGAGUGGAAUUCCUGGUGUAGCGGUGAAAUGCGUAGAUAUCAGGAGGAACACCGGUGGCGAAGGCGUCCCUCUGGCCGGAUACUGACGCUGAGACGCGAAAGCGUGGGGAGCAAACAGG
rnacentral:rRNA from 1 species